AGGUCACACUUGUACUAAGCCCCCGAACUGGGGCCCCAACACACCAGGCUGACCCCUCAAAAUGAAGUCAUCUGUGCUACUAAGACACUGCUAGAAGAUGGGACCAUGUGACAAAAGGGCAAGCCAGAGAGGCAGCAGCCCACACCUACAUCUGCAUCUCGACUCAUACCUCAAUAGACGGAUUGGAACCAUAAGAGUAUCGGUCCACCAUACCAGAACGGCCAUGCAGGGGCAGAAUGAGGGCAAAGCAAACACUAGCCUUGGGCUUUGCCACGCCCAGCUCUCCUUCCUGGAGCCUGCAAUAUGGAUUGCUGCACUGCUCAGAGGGUGGCCGUGAGUCAGUUGGACCAGUCAGUCAGCAGCCAAAGGAGACCAUGGAAGGCAGAGCUUCUGCUGCUGCUUCUCCCAAAGUGUGUUGAAGGUGGAUGACUUCCUGCCUCCAUCUCCAAUGGAGGCAGAGACUAUUUGACCCAGCUGACCCACCAGGCAUCUGCUAAGAGGAUGGGGGACACUGGAUGAUGGGGCAGAGAGGAGAUGAAAGAGUGCUGGAAUAAAAGUUGUCACGAUAGCUGCGUGUCACGGUACUUCACCCA